UACAGAGGUCUCAAGCGUUGUUCGGAUUCAUUGGGCGUAAAGGGUGCGUAGGCGGCGCGGUAAGUCGGGUGUGAAAUCUCGGAGCUUAACUCCGAAACUGCAUUCGAUACUGCCGUGCUUGAGGACUGGAGAGGAGACUGGAAUUUACGGUGUAGCGGUGAAAUGCGUAGAUAUCGUAAGGAAGACCAGUGGCGAAGGCGGGUCUCUGGACAGUUCCUGACGCUGAGGCACGAAGGCCAGGGAGCAAACGGG
rnacentral:rRNA from 1 species